rnacentral:rRNA from 1 species
UGGUACGGAACAACUUUUGGAAACGAAAGCUAAUACCGUAUGGUCCCUUCGGGGUAAAGAUUUAUCGCCAAAAGAUUAGCCCGCACUAGAUUAGCUAGUUGGUGAGGUAACGGCUCACCAAGGCGACGAUCUAUAGCUGUUCUGAGAGGAAGAUCAGCCACACUGGGACUGAGACACGGCCCAGACUCCUACGGGAGGCAGCAGUUAGGAAUAUUGGACAAUGGGCGCAAGCCUGAUCCAGCCAUGCCGCGUGAACGAUGAAGGCCUUCGGGUUGUAAAGUUCUUUAGCCGAUGAUUAUAAUGACUGUAGUCGGAAAAUAAGCCCCGGCUAACUUCGUGCCAGCAGCCGCGGUAAUACGAAGGGGGCGAGCGUUAUUCGGAAUCACUGGGCGUAAAGCGUGCGUAGGCGGUCUUGUAAGUUAGGAGUGAAAGCCCAGGGCUUAACCUUGGAAUUGCUCUUAAAACUGCAAGGCUAGAAUCUCGGAGAGGAUAGCGGAAUUUCCAGU